UACGUAGGGCGCAAGCGUUGUCCGGAAUUAUUGGGCGUACAGAGCUCGUAGGCGGCUUGUCACGUCGGAUGUGAAAGCCCGGGGCUUAACCCCGGGUCUGCAUUCGAUACGGGCUAGCUAGAGUGUGGUAGGGGAGAUCGGAAUUCCUGGUGUAGCGGUGAAAUGCGCAGAUAUCAGGAGGAACACCGGUGGCGAAGGCGGAUCUCUGGGCCAUUACUGACGCUGAGGAGCGAAAGCGUGGGGAGCGAACAGG
rnacentral:rRNA from 1 species